CAGCCACAUCAUGUUCAAACACCAGUUCCCAUAUGAUUACUGAAGUUAAGCAAUGUUGAGACUAGUCAGUACCUAGAUGGGUGACCACUUGGGAAUACCAGGUGCCGUAA
rnacentral:rRNA from 1 species